rnacentral:rRNA from 1 species
AUGCCAAUCUUGUUCAACCGGUGUGCUUCUCUUCAAGUGGAUCUGAUCAUUUCAAUAUCUGCAAGAUCACCUCAAGUCUUCUCAACGGCGUUCGUUUCAUCCAUCUCCAGUUGCCUUUGUUUUUCCCACCCUCCCUCCCUUUGUUUGUUCGAGGACCCAGAUUUCUUUAUCAAGUAUCCUUUUAUUCUUGUGAAGUCUCGCCAUUCUUUUCCGUUAAUAUUCUUAUCCGGUGAUUCUCAUGAAGAUCGUAACGGAGCUUCAAGUUACCAUUCUUUGUCUCUUCUCUUCUCCGGUGGUUUCAAGUCAAGCUUUGUUGAUCAUAUCCUUUCCUCGUUUCAAUGCUUUCUCAUGCCGGUGCACAUCACAUUUAGUCAUUUCUUGCUAUUCUUUUGUUCCGGAAUGCUAAAGAUAUCUUAG